UUCGCGUGUAGCAGUGAAAUGCGUAGAGAUGUGGAGGAAUACCGAUGGCGAAGGCAGCCCCCUGGGAUAACACUGACGCCCAUGCACGAAAGCGUGGGGAGCAAACAGGAUUAGAUACCCUGGUAGUCCACGCCCUAAACGAUGUCAACUAGUUGUUGGGGAUUCAUUUCCUUAGUAACGUAGCUAACGCGUGAAGUUGACCGCCUGGGGAGUACGGUCGCAAGAUUAAAACUCAAAGGAAUUGACGGGGACCCGCACAAGCGGUGGAUGAUGUGGAUUAAUUCGAUGCAACGCGAAAAACCUUACCUACCCUUGACAUGUAUGGAAUCCUGCUGAGAGGUGGGAGUGCCCGAAAGGGAGCCAUAACACAGGUGCUGCAUGGCUGUCGUCAGCU
rnacentral:rRNA from 1 species